rnacentral:tRNA from 1 species
GUGGAUGUAGCUCAGGGGUACAACACCCGCCUAGCAUGUGGGAGGCACUGGGUUCGAUUCUCAAUACCACA